rnacentral:lncRNA from 1 species
UUUAAACCAUGUACCCUGUGACUUGUCAUACUGGUCUCAGAGAGGAUGGAUACAAGCUGUGACAGUGUUAUUUCAUCUUUUUGAAGUAAGCUUUCUUCUGAGCUAUGAAAUAACAGUUUCUGAAGUCAGAAGACUCUGCUUUCAGCCUGGGCUAAAAAAAAUAUAUUGGAUUAAAAAGAUAAUAAUAAUAAUGAAGGCAAACACAAGGAUUUACCAUGUCAGUAUGACACAUCUGUUCACAGUGGU